GUGGGGAAUAUUGGGCAAUGGGCGCAAGCCUGACCCAGCAACGCCGCGUGAAGGAAGAAGGCUUUCGGGUUGUAAACUUCUUUGACAGGGGACGAAACAAAUGACGGUACCCUGAAAACAAGCCACGGCUAACUACGUGCCAGCAGCCGCGGUAAUACGUAGGUGGCAAGCGUUAUCCGGAUUUACUGGGUGUAAAGGGCGUGUAGGCGGGAUUACAAGUCAGAUGUGAAAACUAUGGGCUCAACCCAUAGCCUGCAUUUGAAACUGUAGUUCUUGAGUGAUGGAGAGGCAGACGGAAUUCCUCGUGUAGCGGUGAAAUGCGUAGAUAUGAGGAGGAACACCAGUGGCGAAGGCGGUCUGCUGGACAUUAACUGACGCUGAGGCGCGAAAGCGUGGGGAGCAAACAGGAUUAGAAACCCGAGUAGUCC
rnacentral:rRNA from 1 species